rnacentral:rRNA from 1 species
AUGAACGCUGGCGGCGUGCCUAAUACAUGCAAGUCGAGCGGACAGAUCAGGAGCUUGCUCCUUUGACGUUAGCGGCGGACGGGUGAGCAACACGUGGGUAUCCUACCUAUAAGACUGGAAUAACUCCGGGAAACCGGGGCUAAUGCCGGAUAACAUUUAGAACCGCAUGGUUCUAAAGUGAAAGAUGGUUUUGCUAUCACUUAUAGAUGGACCCGCGCCGUAUUAGCUAGUUGGUAAGGUAACGGCUUACCAAGGCAACGAUACGUAGCCGACCUGAGAGGGUGAUCGGCCACACUGGAACUGAGACACGGUCCAGACUCCUACGGGAGGCAGCAGUAGGGAAUCUUCCGCAAUGGGCGAAAGCCUGACGGAGCAACGCCGCGUGAGUGAUGAAGGUCUUCGGAUCGUAAAACUCUGUUAUUAGGGAAGAACAAAUGUGUAAGUAACUGUGCACGUCUUGACGGUACCUAAUCAGAAAGCCACGGCUAACUACGUG